AAAAGAGGGAGAAACAAGAGAAAAGAAAGAAAAGAAAAGAAAAUUCUCAUCUUUAUCGAGCAGCACCACCCUUCUUUGAUUUCUCUUCUUCUUCCUUCUCC
rnacentral:ribozyme from 13 species